CUCUUAAACCUCAUUAAAGAAAAGUAUGAUCUAAUGGGAAAGCUGCGGUCUUUAAAGCACUAUCUUCUUCUUGAUCAGGGUGAUUUUUUGGUUCAUUUCACGGACAUAGCUCGAGAUGAGCUUACAAAAAAGCUUAAUGAAAUUUCGGUGGAGAAGCUUCAGUCUCUGUUAGACCUUGCUUUGCGUACCACAGCUGCUGCAGCAGAUCCAUGUCAUGAGGACUUGACAUGUUGUGUGGAAAGAUCUUCUUUACUUAAAACACUGGGCAACCUGAAAGAUCUAGGAACAAGGGCUUUUCCCGAUAAUAAUGUUCUAGAGGAGCCAAUGAGCAUUACAGGCCUUGAGACAUUUUCUUUGAGUUACAAGGUUCAAUGGCCAUUGUCUAUAGUUAUUUCAAAAAAAGCCCUAACAAAAUACCAGUUGAUUUUCCGCUUUCUGUUCCACUGUAAACAUGUGGACCGCCAGCUUUGUGGGGCUUGGCAAGUACACCAAGGAGUUCGUGCCCUUAACAUGUGGGGAACUGCCAUCCCUAGAUCAGCUCUUCUUUGUCGUAGUAUGUUGAAAUUCAUCAACAGCCUUCUACACUAUCUAACAUUUGAGGUUCUUGAACCUAAUUGGCACAUGAUGUAUAAUAAAAUGCAGACUGCAAAAAGUAUAGAUGAGGUUAUCCAAUAUCAUGAUUUGUUCCUUGAUAAAUGUCUCAAAGAAUGUUUGCUGCUUUUACCGGAACUACUCAAGAAGGUGGAGAGGCUGAAAUUAGUGUGCCUGCAGUAUGCAGCUGCAUCUCAGUGGCUGAUAUCGUCAUCUAUUGAUAUUCCAAAGCUAGAGGAGCCCUCUGAUGUUUCACUCAGGUCAGAGACGUCCAAGCAAUGGAGAUCAAGAAGCCAAUCUCAGGCAGUAAAAAUGAUGACUCAGAAUACAACAGUCACAGAGUCUAUACUGAAAUUUGAGAGGGAAUUCAAUGCUGAGCUUCAGAGUCUGGGUCCAAUAUUGAGCAGUAAUUCCCAAGCAGAGCCAUAUUUGACUCAUCUUGCACAGUGGAUUCUUGGCAUCAGAAAUGACCAAUAAAAUUUUAGUGUUGUUUUCGUCUAGCAAUUGCUAUUGAUUAGCGUGAAUACAUUUUUUAUGGUUUGCCAGUCGUUUGUUGUGUAGAAAAUGAUAUGCUUCAUCGUCUGUCUGAGAAACAGGAAGCCAGUGCUUACCAGUGUUUGUAUUAUAGGGCCCUAUUUGGUAACACAAGUUGUUUUAGGCCUAACCUGCUGGGGGCUGGGGAGCCUGUCUUCUUUGUAUCCUGUUGUACGCUGGAUAUGCAUCACGGGUUUCAGCUAGCUCAAUAGUGUAAGAUUUGCAUACAGCCUGAAGAAUGUACCUUUGGGUCUUCUGCUUAAUCUCAACAGUUUAUGUUUGUCCGACAAUUAUAGACUUGGGACACUGGAUUCACGAAUUAUUUUGAAUUGUUUUCUUUGAUGUGGUCAAUUUUGAUAAAUUUUUC
rnacentral:misc_RNA from 1 species